GGACCCGCACAAGUAGUGGAGCAUGUGGUUUAAUUCGAAGAUACGCGCAGAACCUUACCAACACUUGACAUGUUCGUCGCGACUCUAAGAGAUUAGAGUUUUCGGUUCGGCCGGACGAAACACAGGUGCUGCAUGGCUGUCGUCAGCUCGUGUCGUGAGAUGUUGGGUUAAGUCCCGCAACGAGCGCAACCCUCACUUUUAGUUGCCAUCAUUAAGUUGGGCACUCUGAAAGAACUGCCAGUGAUAAGCUGGAGGAAGGUGGGGAUGACGUCAAGUCCUCAUGGCCCUUACGUGUUGGGCUACACACGUGCUACAAUGGUAUCUACAACAGGAAGCAAGACGGCGACGUCAAAGCAAAUCCUUAAAAGAUACCUCAGUUCGGAUUGCACUCUGCAACUCGAGUGCAUGAAGCUGGAAUUACUAGUAAUCGUGGAU
rnacentral:rRNA from 1 species